rnacentral:rRNA from 1 species
UACAGAGGUCCCAAGCGUUGUUCGGAUUCACUGGGCGUAAAGGGUGCGUAGGUGGUGAGGUAAGUCUGAUGUGAAAUCUCUGGGCUCAACCCAGAAACUGCAUUGGAUACUAUCUCGCUAGAGGAAUGGAGGGGGGACUGGAAUACUUGGUGUAGCAGUGAAAUGCGUAGAUAUCAAGUGGAACACCAGUGGCGAAGGCGAGUCCCUGGACAUUUCCUGACACUGAGGCACGAAAGCUAGGGGAGCAAACAGG